AACGCGCUAAGCACCGGGCAGGCCUCACCUGCAGCAGGACACACGGCGGCUGAGAAACGUAGCGUGUGUGCGCUGAGUGUUUUAUCUGGUGCCUCGGUGGAAAUCAUCCCAGGGCUGAUGGAAGUGACUGAUGCUUUGCGCUGGUGGCGGUUGAGGUUCAUGGACUGCCGGCGGAAACGGGCGCCUUGACUGCUAUCUGAUGAUAUCAAGACAUCAUUAUUUUUGAGGAUAGGGAAACUGAGGCACAACGCGGUUGAGCCCUUCGUGCAAGGUCAGAGAGUCGCAGAGGCAGGCCCGGGCCCAGCAGCCGAUUCAUGAGGCCACACACGGCGGCUCCCGGUGCACCUGCCACGGGGACACGCACCAAACCACCGUGAGUCCGGCCUCGAUGCCUGCCGGGGGCUCGGCCGGCCGUGCAGCCCUGAGCCAGUCGCCUGCCCUCUCUGAAUUUGAAAUCAGCAUUUAUCCUACCUCCAGGUUCAGAGAGAUAGAGGCAGAGAGCCCAAGCGGAGGGAAUGGCAGGGGCAGAGGGAGAAGCCGGCUCCCCGCUGAGCAGGAAGCCCGAGGCGGGACUUGAUCCCAGGACCCCAGGAUCACGCCCUGAGCCAAGGGCCGACACUUAACCAACAGAGACCCCCGAUCGCCCCCAGGAUGAACAUUUAAAUAAAUAUGAAUGUAAAGGACGACACAGUAACGGUGCUUCAUGAAUCAUGUUCUUCUAAAUCCUUUAAUUAUCUGAGACAGUCAUGGGUUUGGAUUCAAUUUUGAUCAGAAAGCAUUUUAAGGGGCAGCCCAGGUG